GGUUCAGAUUGAACGCUGUCGGCAGGCCUAACACAUGCAAGUCGGACGGUAGCACAGAGGAGCUUGCUCCUCGGGUGACGAGUGGCGGACGGGUGAGUAAUGUCUGGGGAUCUGCCCGAUAGAGGGGGAUAACCACUGGAAACGGUGGCUAAUACCGCAUAACGUCGCAAGACCAAAGAGGGGGACCUUCGGGCCUCUCACUAUCGGAUGAACCCAGAUGGGAUUAGCUAGUAGGCGGGGUAACGGCCCACCUAGGCGACGAUCCCUAGCUGGUCUGAGAGGAUGACCAGCCACACUGGAACUGAGACACGGUCCAGACUCCUACGGGAGGCAGCAGUGGGGAAUAUUGCACAAUGGGCGCAAGCCUGAUGCAGCCAUGCCGCGUGUAUGAAGAAGGCCUUCGGGUUGUAAAGUACUUUCAGCGGGGAGGAAGGCGAUGUGGUUAAUAACCGCGUCGAUUGACGUACCCGCAGUGUAUCAAAGGUUAAUCGGCAUUACUGGCCGUCAAGCGCACGCUGACGUCUGUUAGUUAGACUGAAUUACCUGGCUAACCUGUGAACUGCAUCUGAAACUAGCAGCUGAGUCUCGUAGAGUGCGGAGGAUUCCAGGUGUAGCGUGAAAUGCGUAGAGAUCUGGAGGAAUACCGGUGGCGAAGGCGGCCCCUGGACGAAGACUGACGCUCAGGUGCGAAAGCGUGGGGAGCAAACAGGAUUAGAUACCCUGGUAGUCCACGCCGUAAACGAUGUCGACUUGGAGGUUGUUCCCUUGAGGAGUGGCUUCCGGAGCUAACGCGUUAAGUCGACCGCCUGGGGAGUACGGCCGCAAGGUUAAAACUCAAAUGAAUUGACGGGGGCCCGCACAAGCGGUGGAGCAUGUGGUUUAAUUCGAUGCAACGCGAAGAACCUUACCUACUCUUGACAUCCAGAGAACUUAGCAGAGAUGCUUUAGUGCCUUCGGGAACUCUGAGACAGGUGCUGCAUGGCUGUCGUCAGCUCGUGUUGUGAAAUGUUGGGUUAAGUCCCGCAACGAGCGCAACCCUUAUCCUUUGUUGCCAGCGAUUCGGUCGGGAACUCAAAGGAGACUGCCGGUGAUAAACCGGAGGAAGGUGGGGAUGACGUCAAGUCAUCAUGGCCCUUACGAGUAGGGCUACACACGUGCUACAAUGGCGCAUACAAAGAGAAGCGACCUCGCGAGAGCAAGCGGACCUCAUAAGGUACACGUAGUCCGGAUCGGAGUCUGCAACUCGACUCCGUGAAGUCGGAAUCGCUAGUAAUCGUGGAUCAUGGGGCCUCGAUGAAUACGUUCCCGGGCCUUGUACACACCGCCCGUCUCUCACAUGGGAGUGGGUUGCAAAAGAAGUAGGUAGCUUAACCUUCGGAGGCGCUACCUAUGAGAAUA
rnacentral:rRNA from 1 species